ACAGGAAAGUAGUUGUGCAAGCAGUCACGGCUGAACCACUUUCUCUAAUAUAGUUAUACAUUGGACCUUUAUUUUCUUUUAUUUAUUUAUUAUUUGUCAGCACGGUCUAGAUAACUGUUGUUGGUGUGAUCAGAAGCACUGAUGAAUCCACAAUCGACAUCAAGUGUAAGGUGGAUGACAUGACGGCGGCUCCCAUGGAUGUGAAGCAGUGGAUCGACACCGAGGACAUGGGUGUUGAUAACUCAAUCAUUCCUCCAGGCUCCUACGUCAAGGUCUCAGGCAACCUUCGCUCUUUUCAUGUCAGAACGAUAACCGAUCUUUGUUUGCAUUCAGCGUCUGAGUGCUGGAGGGUAUUAAUGAAGUAACUUCACACUUGCAGGAGGUUGUGAAUACUCAUCUGCAGCGGAGCAAACCACAGAACACGAUGAGAGGAGGUGGAGGAAUGAGUGUGAUGCACCCGUCACAUACUAGCAUGAGCUUCAAAGGAAGCUAUUCUGGCGCUAGCAUGAUACUAGUCAAUGGUUUGACUGCCAACCAGAGCCAAGUCAGUCAAAAAUGCUUCAUUGUACCAGAGUUGAAUGUGACAACAUUUGUUUGUGUGCACUUCCGUUCCUUCAGAGCUAAAGGCCACUGUCAAAGAAACCUGGGCUUCAGACCACCUCAGCAGUGCCACAAACUGAUCACCUCCAUGCCACGCC